UUCCUUUCAUCUGAUAGCACAGGUCUGUACUUCGCCCAAGUCAUGUCGGCUGCCUUUAAAACAAAAAGCUCUUAGCCCACGGUUGCAUGGCAUCAGGAAUCCAGCCUGAUAAAGGAGGUUCCCACGCCUCGGUGCUCUAUCAGCAGGCUGAUCUUAGGCUCUGUGCCUGGGCAACUGUGGAGUUUCAUCAGGUUUAUGUGCAUAGACUGAGUGAAAGGGCUUUCACAUGUGAUGUGAGUUGUGAACAGAUGUGCCUCACCUGGCAGUGGACGAAUCGGAAGCGCACUUUGGAGCUGUGGAUCAUCCUGCCAUAGUUCUUCACGUUGAUGCUGCUCUUCUUCCAUCCGCUGGCCGGAUCGUAAUGGAACGGAGGGUCCCAUUUGAUGUUUU